CCCGCAGACCGCCUUAUCGUCGUCUUAUUUAUAGGAGGGAGGAAAGUCCGGACACCAAAGAGAAGCAUAGCGGGUAACACCCGUCAUCCCGAUUUAUCGGGAUAGGACAAGUGCAACAGAAAGUAUGUACAGGUAAUGCUGUAGUGAAACCAGGUAAACUCUAUGCGGUGAAAUUUCAAGUAUAUCAGCAUUUAAGGGUUUCUCGUCCGUUGCUGAAGGGUAGAAAGAUUGAUUCCGAGAGUAAUUUCGGAGCUAGAUAAAUGAUAAGGACUCCGAUUUAUCGGAGUACAGAAUCCGGCUUAUAGGUCUGCAUUUUUU
rnacentral:RNase_P_RNA from 1 species